AACGAACGCUGGCGGCAGGCCUAACACAUGCAAGUCGAACGGGAUCUUCGGAUCUAGUGGCGGACGGGUGAGUAACGCGUGGGAACGUGCCCUUUGGUUCGGAAUAGCCCUGGGAAACUGGGAGUAAUACCGGAUGUGGUCGAGAGACGAAAGAUUUAUCGCCAAAGGAUCGGCCCGCGUUGGAUUAGGUAUUUGGUGGGGUAAUGGCCUACCAAGCCGACGAUCCGUAGCUGGUUUGAGAGGCUGAUCAGCCACACUGGGACUGAGACACGGCCCAGACUCCUACGGGAGGCAGCAGUGGGGAAUCUUAGACAAUGGGGGAAACCCUGAUCUAGCCAUGCCGCGUGAGCGAUGAAGGCCUUAGGGUUGUAAAGCUCUUUCGUGGGGGAAGAUAAUGACUGUACCCCAAGAAGAAGCCCCGGCUAACUCCGUGCCAGCCGCCGCGGUAAGAC
rnacentral:rRNA from 1 species